CCUACGGGAGGCAGCAGUGGGGAAUAUUGCUCAAUGGGCGCAAGCCUGACCCAGCAACGCCGCGUGAAGGAAGAAGGCUUUCGGGUUGUAAACUUCUUUUCUCAGGGACGAAAAACGUGACGGUACCUGAGGAAUCAGCCACGGCUAACUACGUACCAGCCGCCGCGGUAAUACGUAGGUAGCAAGCGUUAUCCGGCUUUAUUGGGAGUAAAGGGCGUGUAGGCGGGAUCGCAAGUCAGAUGUGAAAACUCAGGGCUUAACCCUGAGCCUGCAUUUGAAACUGUGUGUCUUGAGUGCUGGAGAGGCAAUCGGAAUUCCGGGUGUAGCGGUGAAAUGCGUAGAUAUACGGAGGAACACUAGUGGCGAAGGCGGAUUGCUGGACCGUAACUGACGCUGAGGCGCGAAAGCGUGGGGAGCAAACAGGAUUAGAUACCCUUGUAGUC
rnacentral:rRNA from 1 species